GGGACGGAGACAAAUGACGGCCUUUGGGCUCGGAAUACCCACCUUUCUGGUAAUGCAGCCCAGCGGGUCCCAGCCUCGUUUUCCAGCCCUCACUCAAAAUGGAGUCGCUCUGGUUCGAACGCCUCUGACAAGUGUGUACCUACGUGUCAGGCCCGUCCUUCCUGCAGGCCUUUGUCUUGGUGUCACCCUGCCUGAGCUGGCCCCAACCACAGUAGCGACAGUGAUGCUGAUGUGUGACUGCUGCCCGGAGCCUGCUCACAUGACUGUGUGGAGAAAGUUCUUUCCCUGAGGACCAUCUGGAGUGGACGCGUGCACUACCCCUCUCUGAAUACACCCUCCCCACGAGGCCCUCUGGAGCAUCCUGUAGAGCCAGCUCUUACCCAGAGACCCUGAGCCCAGAGAAUGUGCUGGGUGGUGAGCCUGGGGACGAAUGCAGAGCCCUAGAUCUCC
rnacentral:lncRNA from 1 species